UUUUCCGCUACUAGCCCAUAACUUCUCCCUAUCUGCUAACACCAGAACCGCCAUUCCCAAUCUUGAUACUCUGUUCUCAUCAUCUAGUCUUUUUGUAGCCAUCAAGAAACAACACGACUUGCAAAAAGCUAUUUUGCAAGUCGAAUGUUUUGUUCAAUGUCAGUUUCUGACAUAGUUGAAAAAAAAAUUGGGAAUGGGGUUGAAAAGGAAAUUGGGAAUGGGUGGCUUUGGUGUUAGCACAGCGUUGAGAUCAUGCAAGACCGGGGCAACGAAUUGAUCGGCCCGUUCCACUUUCCCACCCACCCCCACCUGAAACUUGGAAGACAUGGAAGACAUGGGGCGACAGAACAAUACUAUCCUGGUUUUGGGAUCGUACAACCACAGCAGGUCAACUACUCACUGGGGUAGCCGACCUGUUGUUGGCAGUGCUUUUGGCCCGGAUUUUCUCAGGAUUGUGGACGAAGACUAUUGGGGACACCGACACCUCACGAAAGACUGCAACAUCGGACAAAUUCCAAACAGACAAAGCCAAUGCGGACACAACUGAUUUUGAUUUUGGUAAGUCUUUUGAUUUUGGGUCGGUUUAUUUCAGUGGUAGGUUGCCAAAUUUGUAUGUAUGUGUAUUUCAGUGGUAGGUUGUCGGUAUAUUUUGAUAUUAUAUUUUGGUCUGAUGUUAUUUUGUAGUUGGUAAAAUUGCGAAGGGUGGAUUGGAAAAGCUUGCUCACGAAUCGGCUCAUGGUGGAAGGAGGUCAAGGUGAUCAGGUAUGAACUACAACUCAUUGUGAUAAUUUAUGUUCUUGCCACACUCAUAUUUCAAUUUGCAUGUUAUGUAAAUUUUGCAAAUUAUUGUGGGGACUUCAAAAGGGUGAAGUGAAGAGAAUUAUGCUGGUGGAUUUCAUAAAAUAUCUUGCUUUAUCCCUCCUCAUAAAAGACUUGAUUUAGCUGUGAACAAGAGUCUGAAAAUCUAAUCAGACCUCAUAUCUCUUCAUCUGAUAUAUGGCCAAUGAAAAUGAAUUAGCAACUUUAAUUUUGGUAACAAAAUUUAUGAGCAAUAUAUGGUCUUUGUUUUGUUGCAAGCAAAAAGUAGCUUUGAUAGAGCAAUGGGGAACAAAGCCUGCAUCUACUUUACAUUGCUGUACGCAUGAUAAUGUACUGAUGGUGUCUGUGGCUGGCCUAAUCAAGUCGCGAACCUGUUUGAUCUUCCUGCUUAAGAGUCAUCAAUAUUCAAUAAUGUGAUUGAGUUAUGGGUCCAAUUUGUUCUGGUUUAUUAUAGUUUCUUUUUUGUAUACAUUGCUUUUAUUAAAUUCAGUGGGAGUACGUGGAAAUAAUGUUGGUUGAUUGUCCUUCAUUAGCCUUUUAUUUUCUUAAGCUAUUUAGGUGUGACAUCUUUCCAAUAUAAAAAAUCACCAACAGCCACAUAAACUGUGAAGAAUGGAGAAAAAGAAAGACUAGAAAUGGUUGAAUAUUUCUAUUGUAUUUCUCACUCUUGUGAAAACAGUAUUGUUUAUAUACAAUUGAAAAACGAAUAAUUUGGAAUGGAAUUAGUUACAAAAAAUAUGGACAUGAUGACGUGUAUGAUGGAUAUAUGACUAGCCGUUUCCUUCUCUUCUAGAAUACUGCUGAGGUUGUGAUUUUGUGCAUUGGAUCCCAUUGCUUUGUAUUUGCUUUGACUGCACCUGCUGAUGUAUUGAUGAUCUGCAUAUGACAAUGCAGGAUGAAGUGUAAAGAAUACAAACUAAAGAACUACACUUGUCAAUAAUACAUCCUCCAUGGCACUACAAUGUCAACCACCAACUGCCAAACAUCCAUCCUCUGUCAUUUCAAAUGAUUUCAUUUUUCUUUUUGGUCAGAAAAUGAAUUCAUUUUGGAUUUUGAAUUCUUGCAUAUAUUUGUUGAAUUCUUGAGCUGAAUUUUGUAAAUUUGGAUCUGUAUUGCCUGGAAACACUGAGAGAUCCGGCAUGAGAAUGUGCUUGAUACAAUACAAGUUACAUUGCACUGAUUAGGCUUUUCUGCUUAGCGAAAGAGAGUCAUUGUCGAACAUUUUGGUCCUUCAAACCACUGAUGGAGCUAUAUUUCUCUGCCCUGUUGAUGGAGACAUUGGUUUUUUUUUUUUGUUUGGUCAAAAUGGAGAUAUUGGUUUCUUCAGUUGUGUUGAUGUUGGCAUACAUAUAAUAAUCUUUAGAACUUGGCAUUUGAUAAUAGAGUUGGGG
rnacentral:lncRNA from 1 species